rnacentral:rRNA from 1 species
UACGGAGGGUGCGAGCGUUGUCCGGAAUCACUGGGCGUAAAGGGCGCGCAGGCGGCCUGAUAAGUAGGGGGUGAAAUCCUGCGGCUUAACCGCAGGGCUGCCUUCUAAACUGUCAGGCUCGAGCACAGUAGAGGCAGGUGGAAUUCCCGGUGUAGCGGUGGAAUGCGUAGAGAUCGGGAAGAACAUCAGUGGCGAAGGCGGCCUGCUGGGCUGUUGCUGACGCUGAGGCGCGAAAGCUAGGGGAGCAAACGGG